rnacentral:tRNA from 1 species
GCCGAGGUAGCUCAGACGGUAGAGCAGGGGACUGAAAAUCCCUGUGUCGGCGGUUCGAUUCCGUCCCUCGGCACCA